rnacentral:rRNA from 1 species
UACGUAGGGUGCGAGCGUGUCCGGAAUUAUUGGGCGUAAAGGGCUCGUAGGCGGUCUGUCGCGUCGGCUGUGAAAUCCCGGGGCUCAACCCCGGGCCUGCAGUCGAUACGGGCAGACUAGAGUGCGGUAGGGGAGACUGGAAUUCCUGGUGUAGCGGUGAAAUGCGCAGAUAUCAGGAGGAACACCGGUGGCGAAGGCGGGUCUCUGGGCCGUAACUGACGCUGAGGAGCGAAAGCGUGGGGAGCAAACAGG